rnacentral:rRNA from 1 species
GCGUUAUUCGGAAUUAUUGGGCGUAAAGGGCGCGUAGGCGGCCUGGCAAGUGGAAGGUGAAAUCCCUCGGCUUAACCGAGGAGCUGCCUUCCAGACUGCCUGGCUCGAGACCGGGAGAGGUGAGUGGAAUUCCCAGUGUAGCGGUGAAAUGCGUAGAUAUUGGGAGGAACACCAGUGGCGAAGGCGGCUCACUGGACCGGUACUGACGCUGAGGCGCGAAAGCGUG